CCUACGGGAGGCAGCAGUGAGGAAUAUUGGUCAAUGGACGAGAGUCUGAACCAGCCAAGUCGCGUGAAGGAUGACUGCCCUAUGGGUUGUAAACUUCUUUUAUAUGGGAAUAAAGUGCAGUAUGUAUACUGCUUUGCAUGUACCUUAUGAAUACGGAUCGGCAAACUCCGUGCCAGCAGCCGCGGUAAUACGGAGGGUCCGAGCCUUAUCCGGAUUUAUUGGGUUUAAAGGGAGCGUAGGCGGGUUGUUAAGUCAGUUGUGAAAGUUUGCGGCUCAACCGUAAAAUUGCAGUUGAUACUGGCAGCCUUGAGUACAGUAGAGGUAGGUGGAAUUCGUGGUGUAGCGGUGAAAUGCUUAGAGAUCACGAAGAACUCCGAUUGCGAAGGCAGCCUGCUGGACUGUAACUGACGCUGAUGUUCGAAAGUGUGGGUAUCAAACAGGAUUAGAUACCCGAGUAGUC
rnacentral:rRNA from 1 species